rnacentral:rRNA from 1 species
AGAGUUUGAUCAUGGCUCAGAACGAACGCUGGCGGCAGGCUUAACACAUGCAAGUCGAACGCCCCUUCGGGGGAGUGGCAGACGGGUGAGUAACGCGUGGGAAUCUACCCAGCUCUACGGAAUAACUCAGGGAAACUUGUGCUAAUACCGUAUACGCCCUUCGGGGGAAAGAUUUAUCGGAGUUGGAUGAGCCCGCGUUGGAUUAGCUAGUUGGUGGGGUAAUGGCCUACCAAGGCGACGAUCCAUAGCUGGUCUGAGAGGAUGAUCAGCCACACUGGGACUGAGACACGGCCCAGACUCCUACGGGAGGCAGCAGUGGGGAAUCUUGGACAAUGGGGGCAACCCUGAUCCAGCGACGCCGCGUGGGUGAUGAAGGCCUUAGGGUUGUAAACCCCUUUCACCGGGGAGGAUGAUGACGUUACCCGGAGAAGAAGCACCGGCUAACUCCGUGCCAGCAGCCGCGGUAAGACGGAGGGUGCUAGCGUUGUUCGGAAUCACUGGGCGUAAAGGGCGCGUAGGCGGCCUGGUUAGUCAGAUGUGAAAGCCCGGGGCUCAACUCCGGAACUGCAUUUGAUACUCCCAGGCUAGAGGUCGAAAGAGGAGAGUGGAAUACCCAGUGUAGAGGUGAAAUUCGUAGAUAUUGGGUGGAACACCAGUGGCGAAAGCGGCUCUCUGGUUCGAAUCUGACGCUGAGGCGCGAAAGCGUGGGGAGCAAACAGGAUUAGAUACCCUAGUAGUCC